AAUGCAAUGAACUUAAAAUUCAUUUAUAAAGAAUAAUCUUUUUUUAGA
rnacentral:tRNA from 1 species